GACGAACGCUGGCGGCGUGCCUAAUACAUGCAAGUCGAGCGGACGAAUCGAAAGCUUGCUUUUGAUUCGUUAGCGGCGGACGGGUGAGUAACACGUGGGCAACCUGCCCUGUAGACGGGGAUAACACCGAGAAAUCGGUGCUAAUACCGGAUAACACGACAUGUCGCAUGACGUUUCGUUGAAAGACGGCGCAAGCUGCCGCUACAGGAUGGGCCCGCGGCGCAUUAGCUAGUUGGUGAGGUAACGGCUCACCAAGGCGACGAUACGUAGCCGACCUGAGAGGGUGAUCGGCCACACUGGGACUGAGACACGGCCCAGACUCCUACGGGAGGCAGCAGUAGGGAAUCUUCCGCAAUGGACGAAAGUCUGACGGAGCAACGCCGCGUGAGCGAAGAAGGCCUUCGGGUCGUAAAGCUCUGUUGUUAGGGAAGAACAAGUAACGCAGUAACUGGCGUUACCGUGACGGUACCCAACGAGAAAGCCACGGCUAACUACGUG
rnacentral:rRNA from 1 species